UUGGAAGACUUUAUACCUUGUAAAGGACAAGGAAAAGAAAAAGGUUCGUGUGAUGGUUACAAUUUUAGGUGUCAACUUGGCUAGGCUAUGAUGCCUAUUCGUUUAGUCAAACAUUAGUCUGGAUGCUUUUAUGGGUAAUUUGUAGAGGUGAUUAACAUCUACCACCAGCUGACUUUAAGUAAAGACGAUUAGCCUUGAUGACGUGCGUGGGCUUCGGCCAAUCAGUCAAAGGCCUUAAAAGGGAAAAGUCAGGUUUCCAAGAGAAGCUCACCUCAACGUGGAGGCUCUUUGAGUUUUCGGACUUCAGACACGCCAGCUCCACCACUGUGUAAUGGGACAUCUACUGAAAUAAAUUCACAUAAGGGGAAUGACCAACUCAUAGCUGCAUUCAAGGAAGAGUAAUCUUGGAUCUAAGAGAAACAGUACUUGGUAAGGCUGCUCUAUGAAACAAUGUUAGCCUAUAUACAAAUGCUUAGCACAUCUCCUGCCUAACAUGUGCUAAAAACUCAGUGAAUGAUAGCAACUCUUUUGUAGUAAAAUUCAGUGGUAAAUUCAUAUGAUGAACUACAGUUCAUCUGUAUGACAGUAUCCCAUGUGGCUUGCUCUAGUCCUUCUCUCAGGUUUUGGGCUAAAUUACUUCUGGUCAGAGGAAUAUGGAAGAGAAGAUAAAGUAGAAAAUUUCCAGGAAGCAGGGAAAGGAGGUAACAUAUCAUCUACUGGCCAGUUCUCCCUGGAUCUGGCCAAUAGCAUUGUAGUUAAUCCACAGUGAGAUGCUUUCACUCAAUGGUCCUUUCCUUUGGUAAGCCUCAGCCUGUCACAGGACCCAGAAGGUUACAGUAUCAGAUUUCUAUUGCUGCUGUAAUAAGUCACCAUGAAUUUAAUGGCUUAGGUCUCCAUUGGGUGGUCUGACACAAGUCUCAGAGAGCUGAAGUCAAGGGGUUGGCAUGGCUGUGCUCUAUCUGGGGGCUCUGUGGAGAGAACCCACAUCCUUGUCGAGAGCAGCCUCUAAAGGUGGCCUGCAUUUCUAGGCUCAAGCCCCCUUCCUCUGUCUUUAAAGCCAGCAACUUUGUAUCUCUCAGUGCCUUUCCUCCUUAGCCACAUCUUCCUCUGGUUCUGCUCUGGUUCCUUCUUGAGAUGACAUUGCCCUUGUUCGGUUAACCCAGCAUUAUUUUUCUCUUUUGUCAGCUGACUAGCAAUUUCUAUUCUAUCUGCAACCUUCAUUCCUCUCUGUGGUGUAAGCCAUCCUAUUGGCAGGUUCUAGACAUUAGGAUGUUGACAUUUUUAGAGGGUUCUCACUCUGCCUACCGUACACUCACUACUAUUUAAGCCUGAGAUUGUACCAUCAGAUGAC